AGGCGGUGUGAAGCCGCAGAAUUCCUCCCGUUUUUUUUCUCUUCUUGCUCACCUCUUCUUCUUCUUCUUCUUCUUUUUAUCGGAAACGCGGCUGUCCGCGAACGGGGCGCGGGGAUGUUUGGUAGCCGAUAAAGUUAGUCCCCGGAGCGGAGUAAUAUUGUUUACUGUGCGCCAGCCGCACGCUUCCUCGGUACACAAGAACCGCAUGUCGGCCAGAGUUGAACAUCUCUCGCUCUGAGCGGAAAAAGAAAAGAGAAAAAAAGAGAAAAAGACAAGAAACGUUUAAUUUAGCUUCGUCUCGCCCCCUCCCGUCUUCGGCCGCUGUCCACGCUCCGAUGAUAAGGUGACCUCGGUGAGUCAUCCAUGAUCUCGCCCUUGACGUAUUUGAGCUGAAUUCUCUUUGGCAGGAUGAAAUGCCAAUCUCACCAAGACGUGUGACCGAGCCCAGGGACUCCAACGGUCUCUUUCUGUGGAACGAGGAAUCACAUUGCAGUAAGUGCCUGUUCUUGGUCAAUUCUUGCCAAUUACCUCUCACUUAUUACAAUUCUUAAAAUUAUCCAGUUCUUAGUAUGUUGACAAUG
rnacentral:lncRNA from 1 species